ACCCUCGUUUUUAGUUGCCAUCAUUAAGUUGGGCACUCUAGAGAGACUGCCGGUGACAAACCGGAGGAAGGUGGGGAUGACGUCAAGUCAUCAUGCCCCUUACGCCUUGGGCUACACACGUACUACAAUGGCCGGGACAAAGAGUCGCAAGCAUGCGAAUGCAAGCUAAUCUCAUAAACCCGGUCUUAGUUCAGAUUGCAGGCUGCAACUCGCCUGCAUGAAGGCGGAAUCGCUAGUAAUCGCAGGUCAGCAUACUGCGGUGAAUACGUUCCCGGGCCUUGUACACACCGCCCGUCACACCAUGGAAGCUGGUCACGCCCGAAGUCGUUAUCUCAACCCGCAAGGGAGGGAGGCGCCUAAGGCAGGGCUGGUGACUGGGGUGAAGUCGUAACAAGGUAGCCGUACCGGAAGGUGCGGCUGGAUCACCUCCUUA
rnacentral:rRNA from 1 species